rnacentral:rRNA from 1 species
GAUGAACGCUGGCGGCGUGCCUAAUACAUGCAAGUCGAGCGAAUGACGAGGAGCUUGCUCCUCUGGUUUAGCGGCGGACGGGUGAGUAACACGUGGGUAAUCUGCCUGUAAGACGGGGAUAACUCCGGGAAACCGGGGCUAAUACCGGAUAACAGAAGAAGAUGCAUAUCUUCUUUUUGAAAGUCGGUUUCGGCUGACACUUACAGAUGAGCCCGCGGCGCAUUAGCUAGUUGGUGAGGUAACGGCUCACCAAGGCGACGAUGCGUAGCCGACCUGAGAGGGUGAUCGGCCACACUGGGACUGAGACACGGCCCAGACUCCUACGGGAGGCAGCAGUAGGGAAUCUUCGGCAAUGGGCGAAAGCCUGACCGAGCAACGCCGCGUGAGCGAUGAAGGCCUUCGGGUCGUAAAGCUCUGUUGUUAGAGAAGAACAAGUACGAGAGUAACUGCUCGUACCUUGACGGUACCUAACCAGAAAGCCACGGCUAACUACGUGCCAGCCGCCGCGGUAAAAC